ensembl:lncRNA
AGGAAGAUGUUCUUUAAGUCAUUUCCUGUACCGUGGGGAUUUUUCAGCUUUGGGAGGCGGGUUUACAGCAGGAACCUGCCUCGCCAAACUUUGAUCAAAGUGGCUUGCCUUGUGGAGAGGAAGCCUCUACAGUCAGCCUCUCAGAGUAGAUGUAGCAGUCCCGUCCACCUUCCACUGGGAUGCGGGAUCCCACCUUCAGCUCGUACAGUAGCUGCGUCUGUUUGACCUCAUCGCACAGUAUAUGACACCACCCCACGAGGUGCGCUUACAGACCAUCUCACAGCCACCAGAAGAUGUCACUCGAUGAGGGUAAAGUAGCUGAAACGGAAUCAUGUAGCACUAGUUUUACUGGAUGAAGCGAUGUGCGUUGCGUUUAGGGUCGAGGACGUGUUGAGCUUCGAUGUUUGUCUCCUUGGCGGUUCUUCAGUGUGUAGCAAAGACAGUCACCAAUCACUGUGAUGAGAAACUGUAAUACUGACCCGUAACUGUGAGCCUGACCCGUCCAGAAGCAUGUCUCUUGUUCCGCUCCUUUCUUUAGUCUUCUUGUCACGAUUUGCUGUCUUAACUGUACUCCAGAAGUAGAAGCAAUAACUGCUUUAAAUGGAAAGGAUUAUUCAUGUGUGUGUGUGUGUGUGUGUGUGUG